rnacentral:rRNA from 1 species
UACGAAGGGGGCUAGCGUUGCUCGGAAUCACUGGGCGCAAAGCGCACGUAGGCGGGUCUUUAAGUCAGGGGUGAAAUCCUGGAGCUCAACUCCAGAACUGCCUUUGAUACUGGGGAUCUCGAGUCCGGGAGAGGUGAGUGGAACUGCGAGUGUAGAGGUGAAAUUCGUAGAUAUUCGCAAGAACACCAGUGGCGAAGGCGGCUCACUGGCCCGGUACUGACGCUGAGGUGCGAAAGCGUGGGGAGCAAACAGG